GAAUGAGUGAGAGUCCUGUGCUGUGUGUGUGUGUUCACCCCCUCCUCUCCUGAGAUCCAGCAGACUGGCAUGAUUUGCUGGUGGUGUGGCCCUGGCUGCUGCUCGGACUGUCUCUCAUCCUCAGUGCCAUCACACCACCCUUCGGCUUUUUCUCAUCGGCACACUCUCCACCUCUGCCGGUUUUGUCGGCAAGCUGUAAUAUGGACGCUGCAAGAGAACGGUGAUCGGCUUCAUACUCAUCCUCAUCCUCGCACCAGGACUAGAACAGCUGUAGGAGGAAAGGGGAGCGUUAACCACAGUUUUUUGCGGUGCAAUCCGAUCUGUUAAAUACGGAGGGGAGGAAAGAUAAAAGGAAACAGAAGCGCUGUUGGAGUCUGUCUACAGGAAGAGCCUGAUUAGAGACGGAGGCAUUUCUGAAUAUGAUGGAGGAGGAAGAGUCCCAAGAGCCCCCCAGGAAGGUGGAGGCCAAGGUCUUGCUGGAGACCCAAAUCCCGACUAUAGAACACUGUAAAGAGUGUGAAAGUGAUGGGAGAGGCCGUACCUUUAUCUGUGAAGAUCCGAAGGGAGAUUACAUAGGAGCAUGCCAACAUGAAAUAACCAAUACACAGCUACUGAAGCAAAAAUUUGGCCAGUACCUUACCAUUGUAAAGCAGAGUACAAAAAAUUGGCCCCAAAAUGAUAUCAUAAGAGAUCCAGUACUAACAGAAGAUGACGUCAAACCAAAA
ensembl:lncRNA